GCAGCCUGAUCCAGCCAUGCCGCGUGGGUGAUGAAGGCCUUCGGGUUGUAAAGCUCUUUCACCGGAAAAGAUAAUGACUGUAUCCGGAGAAGAAUCCCCGGCUAACUUCCUGCCAGCAGCCGCGGUAAUACUAAGGGGGCUAGCGUUGUUCGGAAUUACUGGGCGUAAAGCGCACGUAAGCGGAUAUUUAAGUCAGGGGUGAAAUCCCAUAGCUCAACUCUGGAACUGCCUUUGAUACUGGGUAUCUUGAGUAUGGAAGAGGUAGGUGGAAUUGCGAGUGUAGAGGUGAAAUUCAAAUAUCUUCGCAGGAACACCAGUGGCGAAGGCGGCUUACUGGUCCAUUACUGACGCUGAGGUGCUAAAGCGUGGGGAGCAAACAGGAUUAAAUACCCUGGUAGUCCACGCCGUAAACGAUGAAGGUUAGCCGUCGGGCAGUCUACUGUUCGGGGGCGCAGCUUACGCAUUAAACAUUCCGCCUGGGGAGUACGGUCGCAAGAUUAAAACUCAGAGGAAUUGACGGGGGACCGCACAAGCGGUGGAGCAUGUGGUUUAAUUCGAAGCAACGCACAGAACCUUACCAGCUCUUGACAUUCGGAGA
rnacentral:rRNA from 1 species